GCCUAGUUAGCUCGGUGGGUAGAGCGUUUGCCUUGUAGGCGCUAGGUUGCGGGUUCCAUUCCCGCCCGGGGCG
rfam:Asian citrus Psyllid, Diaphorina citri - Florida Strain, whole genome shotgun sequence.